GGGAGUACGCUCGCCAAGAGUGAAACUUCAAAGGAAUUGACCGGGGACCCGCACAAGCGGUGGAGCAUGUGGUUUAAUUNGACGCAACGCGAAGAACCUUACCUACCCUUGACAUGUCCGAGAGCCCGCAGAGAUGUGGGUGUGCCCGAAAGGGAAUCGGAGCACAGGUGCUGCAUGGCUGUCGUCAGCUCGUGUCGUGAGAUGUUGGGUUAAGUCCCGCAACGAGCGCAACCCUUGUCAUUAGUUGCUACAUUCAGUUGGGCACUCUAAUGAGACUGCCGGUGACAAACCGGAGGAAGGUGGGGAUGACGUCAAGUCCUCAUGGCCCUUAUGGGUAGGGCUUCACACGUAAUACAAUGGCGCGUANCAGAGGGUUGCNCAAGGAGCGAUCUGGAGCCAAUCCCGAAAAGCGCGUCGUAGUCCGGAUUGCAGUCUGCAACUCGACUGCAUGAAGUCGGAAUCGCUAGUAAUCGCGGAUCAGCAUGUCGCGGUGAAUACGUUCCCGGGUCUUGUACACACCGCCCGUCACANCCAUGGGAGUGGGUUUCACCAGAAGCCGGUCGCCUAACCGCAAGGAGGGCGCCGACCACGGUGAGAUUCAUGACUGGGGUGAAGUCGUAACAAGGUACC
rnacentral:rRNA from 1 species